GUGAAAAGGACCCCGGGAGGGGAGUGAAAGAGAACCUGAAACCCUGUGUUUACAAGCUGUGGAAGUUCUUUAAAUGAACAACCGCGUACUUUUUGUAGAACGGUCCGGCGAGUUGCGGAUACUGGCAAGGUUAAGCACUUAAGGUGCGGAGCCGAAGGGAUACCAAGUCUUAACAGGGCGUAAAGUCAGUAUACGCAGACCCGAAACCGGGUGAUCUAUCCAUGUCCAGGUUGAAGUUGUCGUAAAAGACAAUGGAGGACCGAAGCCACAUCCGUUGAAAAGGGUGGGCAUGAGGUGUGGAUAGGGGAGAAAUUCCAAUCGAACCCGGAGAUAGCUGGUUCUCCUCGAAAUAGCUUUAGGGCUAGCCUCGAUUUAGUCUUAUGGAGGUAGAGCACUGAAUUUCCGCGGGGGCGUCAAAGCUUACCAAAGAAUAUCAAACUCCGAAUGCCAUGUAGAUGAUGAUCGGGAGUCAGACUGCACGAGAUAAGUUGGGCAGUCAAAAGGGAAAGAGCCCAGACCACCGGCUAAGGUCCCAAAGUGCGUGUUAAGUGGAAAAGGAUGUGGGAAUUCGAAGACAACUAGGAUGUUGGCUCAGAAGCAGCCAUACAUUCAAAGAGUGCGUAACAGCUCACUAGUCGAGAGUUCCUGCGCCGAAAAUGUCCGGGGCUGAAACACGACACCGAAGCCGUGGACUCGCAAUGCGAGUGGUAGAGGAGCAUUCUUAAAACCGACGAAGCUGUACCGGAAGGAGCAGUGGAGGGAUAAGAAGAGAGAAUGCCGGAAUGAGUAGCGAGAGAAAGGUGGGAAUCCUUUCGGCCGAAUAUCUAAGGUUUCCAGAGUAAAGCUGAUCUGCUCUGGGUAAGUCGGGGCCUAAGCACAGGUCGCAAGACGUAAGCGAUGGAUAACAGGUUUAGAUUCCUGUACCACGCAUUAUCAGAACUGUAGGGACGCAUGUGGAAAGCACGGGCCGGGAAUGGAAAGACCGGUACAAGCGGGGUAGGAGUACAAUAGGCAAAUCCGUUGUAUGAUCCGAAGACGUGAUGUGGAGCGAAAUAAAGUAGUGAAGCGUGUGAGCCAUGUGCCGAGAAAAGCUGCUAUUGUGUAAUGCGUGCCCGUACCGUAAACCGACACAGGUGGAUGAGGAGAGAAUCCUAAGGCCGACGGAAGAAGCAUUGUUAAGGAAUUCGGCAAAAUGACCCCGUAACUUCGGGAGAAGGGGUGCCUGCGAGAGCAGGCCGCAGAGAAUAGGCUCAAGCAACUGUUUAGCAAAAACACAGGUCUAUGCGAAACCGAAAGGUGAGGUAUAUGGGCUGACGCCUGCCCGGUGCUGGAAGGUUAAGAGGAGAGGUUAGCGCAAGCGAAGCUUUGAAUUUAAGCCCCAGUAAACGGCGGCCGUAACUAUAACGGUCCUAAGGUAGCGAAAUUCCUUGUCGGGUAAGUUCCGACCCGCACGAAAGGCGUAAUGAUUUGAGCACUGUCUCGACAAUGCAUCCGGUGAAAUUGAAGUACCAGUGAAGAUGCUGGUUACCCGCGCCAGGACGGAAAGACCCCAUGGAGCUUUACUCCAGUUUGAUACUGGGAUUCGGUACUGCAUGUACAGGAUAGGUGGGAGACGAAGAAGGAUGGACGCCAGUCUGUCCGGAGUCGCUGUUGGGAUACCACCCCUGUAGUACUGGGUUUCUAACCAGUUGCCAUGAACUGGCAAUGGGACAAUGUCAGGCGGGGAGUUUGACUGGGGCGGUCGCCUCCGAAAGGGUAUCGGAGGCGCUCAAAGGUUCCCUCAGAAUGGUUGGAAACCAUUUGAAGAGUGCAAAGGCAGAAGGGAGCUUGACUGCGACACCGACGGGUGGAGCAGGUACGAAAGUAGGACUUAGUGAUCCGGUGGUAUAAAGUGGGAUUGCCAUCGCUCAACGGAUAAAAGCUACCCUGGGGAUAACAGGCUU
rnacentral:rRNA from 1 species